rnacentral:lncRNA from 1 species
AGAAUCAUAAAGAUAAGCUUCCACAUACAAAGUUCCAGCAAUACCUCUAGUCUUUCAAAGUAAGUCUCGAGAGUAUAGCGUGGUAGUUGAUUCGCAGAUUCUGUUUUGGGAGAUGCAAAACAGUCUCACGUGGUUUUAUCCUGGGACUCAAAAUCGUACAGAAACCGUCUCACCUAAGGGUUAUUUAUUGAGUUAAGGAAAGUGAUUAAAUCACGACUCCAUGUAUUCGUUUUUUUAUAUCGAUUUUAAAACAUUUUACCGCUUUAUAUUAUCGUUAUCAUCAUAUUUUGUUUCGUAAUUUUCAAUCUGGAUUCUCACGUCCUAACAGACAUCACUCAGAAAAUGAAGAAGCGGAAAGAAGGGAUGAAGGGAGUUAUUGGUUCUGUUGAGAUACCCUACAUGAGGCGUUCAAAGUCUCUUAUGAGAUAAAGACGGUGUAGUAGUUUUAUAUGCAAUUGGAAGAUUAAUUUUUUGGAAAAAGUAUGAAAUCGUGAUUGAAAAGCUACAGCAGAAGUAAAUUAACAUCUCUUUGGAUUACAACAAGGAAAAGCAUGAAGAAGUUUAAGCAUCUGAUGUCUCUUUGGAUUUUAUAAUCUCAGGGUGCCAACCCAACCAUUGUUCUAUCUUGUUUUUUUAUUUCUUUUUGCCAUGAUAGAACAUAUUUUAGAUUGGCUUUUGUACAAUCUUCCUUUCAUUAAUAUGAAAUUUACAGUUUAGAAAAAAAAAUCUCUUCCAAAACAAAACCACAUGUUGAUUUGAUAUUUAUACAUGUAUACCGAAUUUGUAAAGUGAUGGAAACAUAUAGACACAAG